rnacentral:snRNA from 1 species
AUCGCUUCUCAGCCUUUUGGCUAAGAUCAAGUGUAGUAUCUGUUCUUAUUAGUAUUUCAAAAUCAGGAAUAAAAGACAAAUUGUUGCCUCAGCAAAGCCCUCUCCUUGUUUCAGUAAAGUACUUGGCACUAUGCAUUUCACUGCACUGGGAAGUAUUAUUUAGUUUUGUUU